rnacentral:rRNA from 1 species
GGGGGGGNNNAGCGUUGUUCGGAAUUACUGGGCGUAAAGGGCUUGUAGGCGGCCAACUAAGUCAUACGUGAAAUCCCUCGGCUUAACCGGGGAACUGCGUCUGAUACUGGAUGGCUUGAGUUUGGGAGAGGGAUGCGGAAUUCCAGGUGUAGCGGUGAAAUGCGUAGAUAUCUGGAGGAACACCGGUGGCGAAGGCGGCAUCCUGGACCAACACUGACGCUGAGGAGCGAAAGCCAGGGGAGCAAACAGGAUUAGAUACCCCGGUAGUCCUGGCCCUAAACGAUGAAUGCUUGGUGUGGCGGGUAUCGAUCCCUGCCGUGCCGAAGCUAACGCAUUAAGCAUUCCGCCUGGGGAGUACGGUCGCAAGGCUG